ACCGAUAGGGUUGACAUUGCCCCAGUAGGUCUCGGCCUGCGGAUGCUGUAACGGGUCACCGUACACUUCACUAGUGCUUGUUAACAAGAACCGUGCCCCAACUCUUUUAGCUAGCCCUAACAUGUUGAGUGUCCCCACCACGUUCGUCUUGUUCACCCCCACCGCACGCAAAAAUAACAGUCAAAGGAAUUCAAACUUCAAACAAAUUAACAACAGGUUUCAACAAAAAUAAUAAACAAAUUAAUUUUAAUUUAAUUUUUCUACAUGUUAAUGAAAAAGGAUAUGAUGGUCUUGACAGGAUUGAACUUGUAAUGAACAGGCGAGGCGGGGCAAGCAAGAUGGUAGAUCUGAUCAACUUCUAGAAGAAUUGGCUCCACGACGUCGUGUCGAAUGAGCUCGAACCGCGGGUUACCAAAAU
rnacentral:lncRNA from 1 species